rnacentral:lncRNA from 1 species
GGAGGAAGAGGAGGAGGAAGAUGACAACCUUGAUGAAGCUUUAUCUGGUGUCGGCGCCUCCUGUGCCUGGAGUGAGCUCGCCUGCCACGCGGCUACCACUGAGCUGGCCCCACCUGGGACAACCCCCAGACAGCCGGAGGCAGCUGGGAGGGGUUGGAGACCCCCCCACACCUGACCCCAGCAGUGCCUGCCCUACAGCCCCUCUGGGC